rnacentral:rRNA from 1 species
UGGGGAAUCUUGGACAAUGGGCGCAAGCCUGAUCCAGCCAUGCCGCGUGGAUGAUGAAGGCCUUAGGGUUGUAAAAUCCUUUCGCCGAGGACGAUAAUGACGGUACUCGGAGAAGAAGCACCGGCUAACUCUGUGCCAGCAGCCGCGGUAAUACAGAGGGUGCGAGCGUUAAUCGGAGUGACUGGGCGUAAAGGGCAUGUAGGCGGUUAUAUUAGUCUGAUGUAAAAGACCCGGGCUUAACCUGGGAUAUGCAUUGGAAACGGUAUAGCUAGAGUAUGGGAGAGGGAAGUGGAAUUUCCGGUGUAGCGGUGAAAUGCGUAGAGAUCGGAAAGAACACUCGUGGCGAAGGCGGCUUUCUGGCCCAUAACUGACGCUGAGGUGCGAAAGCAUGGGGAGCAAACAGGAUUAGAUACCCGCGUAGUCCCUGAGCGGGCUGGCAAGGCGCAU